GGUAAAUGAUGAGAUUUUGGUCCGUGUUACUGAAACACAUGAUCAGAUACCUACCAACCUGAUACC